CAAAGUUCUUGAUAUGGAGGCAGGGACACUCAAUGCUUCUGUACAGCAUCAUUGAACCCCAUUGCUGCGCAAGAAUGAGACAAAAUGUUUUCAGUGAGCCAGUAAACCUCCAUAUAUCCAGAGUGUCUUUUUGAAAGAUCAGCUGGACAAUUAAGAAGCUCAGGAUUCAUGAAUGAAUGUGAAUGUCAUCUUUUUUUUUACCUGGAGAAUGUGCUCCUCCGCCAUCUGCUGGCUCACCGCUCCUCCCACACCAGGUGAGGCCGUCAGACCCAGAAUCU